ensembl:lncRNA
AUGGCAUCAAAUAUGCAGCUCACAGUUUCAGUUUCCCUCCGCUGCGAGGACAGUUGGGUCUUUAUUUAGCAGCUUUAGUGGGACUAGUCUGGCCGUAACUGGUAGCCGAGAGCGUGAAUCAUAAAUGGCGAGUGAUCUAAAGUACGUCGGGUCUGGAGAGGACACUGAAAACCAGGUGGUGUCAUCUUGAGUGUGCCAUCUAUUUUCAACCUACCAUUCAAAAUCCCAUUCAGCAUGAAAGUGCAUCUCCACUCGACGUACCAAAUCAAAACCGCCAAAAAAAAAAGAGACAAGCUUCUUUGGAAAUGAACCCCCCUUGACUCGUCCCCCCGCUGCAGCAGCCAAUCACACUGUGAGGCAGCUGCAUCUCUUCUCAGAGCUCGUCCUACAGAUGCUUGUCUGGCUGCUCCUGCGGACCGAUGAAUCCUGCAGGUAACGAGUCAGCACAGGGAGGCAUGCUGGGACACGUGGCUCUUCUUUCGUGCAUCUCGUUUGCCUAAAUUUGCAUUCAUUACGCAUCAGGCAGGGCAUGGAGAAGGGCUCAGAGAGGAAGAAGAGAGCGCAGUGUGGUGCCGUGGUGGAUUGUGGGAGCUCUGAGGGGGGCAAGAGCUCUGAGGGGCUGGAAAAACAACUCAGUGGGUUAUUAAGCACAAGGGUGCCGCAGUUCACUGAGGUUUCAAGGUGGAAGUGAGCCACCCUGGGAGUCAGAGGUGACGAAGCAGUGAGACAGAGGAAAGAGGAGACGUAAGGAAGAACGUGUUUAAACGUCUCGGUGCACACGUUCAGACAAACCCCUCUGACACAUCACAACUCCUCCAGUCUCCUGACAAAUCCUGACAGAUUAAGUGCUUUCGUCUAUUCACCAUUUGCCAUUCACCAAAAAAGCAUUUAUGAGAGCCAGGACAGUGUACAUGAGUGAUAUUCCCUUAAGCGCUCAAUCCCGUCAACUGCAAUUUGGAAAAGAAAAAAAAAUGCAAAAAGGUCAAGUAUUUUCUUUUUUUUUCUUUUCAUCUGACUUCUAGAUAUCAUGAUAGCAGGAGGAUGGUAUUUGUGUGAGAAUAAUUCUCUGAAACAGAUCAGUUCCUGAUCCCUGUUUCCUUUACUGAGCAGCAGAAACUGAGGGUUAUGUGUCUUCUCA